rnacentral:rRNA from 1 species
UACGGAGGGUGCAAGCGUUAUCCGGAUUCACUGGGUUUAAAGGGUGCGUAGGUGGGUUGGUAAGUCAGUGGUGAAAUCCCCGAGCUUAACUUGGGAACUGCCAUUGAUACUAUUAAUCUUGAAUACCGUGGAGGUUAGCGGAAUAUGUCAUGUAGCGGUGAAAUGCUUAGAUAUGACGCAGAACACCAAUUGCGAAGGCAGCUUGCUACACUACUAUUGACACUGAGGCACGAAAGCGUGGGGAUCAAACAGG